UACGAAGGGGGCGAGCGUUGUUCGGAAUUACUGGGCGUAAAGGGCGCGCAGGCGGCUCUGAAAGUCGGAUGUGAAAGCCCCGGGCUUAACCUGGGAAUUGCAUUUGAUACUCUGGAGCUUGAGUACGGGAGAGGAGAGUGGAAUUCCCAGUGUAGAGGUGAAAUUCGUAGAUAUUGGGAAGAACACCGGUGGCGAAGGCGGCUCUCUGGACCGUAACUGACGCUGAGGCGCGAAAGCGUGGGGAGCAAACAGG
rnacentral:rRNA from 1 species